rnacentral:rRNA from 1 species
UGAGUAACCUGCCCUUAACUCUGGGAUAAGCCUGGGAAACUGGGUCUAAUACCGGAUAUGACUCCUCAUCGCAUGGGUGGGGGGUGGAAAGCUUUAUUGUGGUUUUGGAUGGACUCGCGGCCUAUCAGCUUGUUGGUGAGGUAAUGGCUCACCAAGGCGACGACGGGUAGCCGGCUGAGAGGGUGACCCGGCCACACGUGGGACUGAGACACGGCCCAGACCUCCGUACGGGAGCAG